AGACACCAGAACAGCUGCCUGCCAUUGACCUGAGAGCUGCAGCUAACAACGUCCUUGUUUCCUUACCUUCUUGCUGGAGACCCAGCUUGGCAGGCGGAUGCCACUCCUGGAGACACUCAUCUUGUCAUCCCUCUGGGCCUAUGGACUUGCGCUGUUGGAGCAACCCCAAAUAUCAAUUUCCAGAGCAAGAGAUAAGAGUGCCCACAUAUCCUGUAAGGCAUCCAUCCAAAACUUUGAUAAUGAAGUCAUACACUGGUACCGGCAGAAACCAAAUGAAGG